rnacentral:piRNA from 1 species
UGCCAGCACUACCCCUUGUCACAGGCA